GCAUUGGAGUACACACCACUUGUAGAUAAGCUUUUGAUAAGAAACGAAGCCGAACAAACAGCAUAAAUGCCUGAAAGAAGAUGCGUGCUAAUGCCCAGCUUCAGCUUUCGAAUCUGGAGCUGACAUAGCGGACAUAAUUAAUUGCAAACUCAGGCAAAAUCAAGAUAUCAAUGGUAUUCAGAUUGGCUCAAAUGUUUUGGAAGCAC
rnacentral:lncRNA from 1 species